rnacentral:lncRNA from 1 species
GACGCGCCCUGCCAACAGGUCGCCCGAGGCAGGGCCCCGCGUGUCGUAGGGGGGCGGGGGGGAGGGGCGGCCCGCUGCGCCCCUCUUUCACCCCGGAGGCGAGGACGCCCGCCCUCGUGUCAGAGGCUGACGCCGUGGGCUUGACAAAGAGUCAUGUUACGAGCUCUGCUACAUGUUCCCACGAACACAGUGCCACUCUACGUAUCUCCCCACUACUGAUGAAUGGGCUGAGACAUGCUGAAACCAGGAACGACAGUCCUUUUAUGAGAGAACUCCAGCAAGGACUGUGGUUCAAUUGAAGGAGACUAAUUCAAGCUCUCGGCAUUCAUAUUUGUGAUGGUAAUAAUAACAUUCGAGUGUUGAUUACUUGUUCUGUGCCAAGCAUGUAACAUGCAUUAUCUCCUUCACUCUGAACCAGCUUCAUGACUUCAAGGAUACAAACAUCUGAUGACCAAAUGGUUUCUUUCUUCCCUUAAGCACACAGUUAGACUGUUUCCUGGCCACCGUCGUGAUUAGCUGGGGCCAAAUGCCUGAUGUCUGUCCAAGAACACAGACAGAAAAUGAUGAUGGUUUGGGCAGUGAGCCCUGAAAACCUCUAACAUGUGUUCAACAUUCUUUUCCUACUUCCAG